AUUUUAGGGCCAGUCCGUCAACUGUUGGAGUUGAAACCUAAAUUCGCGUAUAUACUAUACGCCUGUACGGCUCUCUCCCCUUUCCGUCUCAUAAUUUCUGCAUCUCAUCAAUUGCUCUCUCUCCCUCCAAUUCAAUGGAUACUCUUCAAUCCAAUUACACUGAUUCCCCUUCUCAGCCCCAAUCCGAACCCCAAUCUCAACCCCAAUCUGAAACCCUCGAAAAAACCCUAGACUCCUCCAACAACGGAGCUGCCGCCGCCGAUGCUUCUAUGCCCGUCCUGAAGCCUGAUUUUCCGAAGCCCCUUUUGUCGGGGAAUGGUCUCGCGAACACGAACAGCGGCACUGACAAAGAUUUCUCCGGGGGCGAGGAGGAAACGACAAGCCGCAGGCGGAGGCGAUCUAGGUGGGACCCGCCCCCGAGCGAGUCCAGCAACGAUGGUAACGCUGCCAACGGCGAUGGAAAUUCUGGAACCGGUGGGAGGAAGCGGAAGUCGAGGUGGGCAGAUGACGAGCCGAAGCCCAUGAUCCAGCUACCUGACUUUAUGAAGGACUUCGCCGGAGGUAUUGAAUUUGAUCCUGAGAUUCAAACUUUGAAUAGUAGGUUGCUUGAGAUUAGUCGUAAGUUGCAAUCCGGUAUGCUCUUGGAUGAUCGGCCUGAGGGAGCUAGGUCGCCCUCCCCGGAACCUAUUUAUGAUAACAUGGGAGUGAGGAUUAAUACUAGGGAAUAUCGUGCUAGAGAGAAGCUGAAUAGGGAGAGGCAAGAGAUCAUAUCGCAGAUUAUUAAGAAGAAUCCUGCCUUUAAGCCCCCGGCGGAUUAUAGGCCGCCCAAGCUUCACAAGAAGCUAUACAUACCGAUGAAAGAGUACCCUGGUUAUAAUUUUAUUGGAUUGAUUAUUGGUCCAAGAGGAAACACUCAGAAGAGGAUGGAAAGGGAGACUGGUGCGAAGAUUGUUAUCCGGGGCAAAGGGUCUGUGAAGGAAGGUAGGCUGCAACAGAAGAGGGAUUUGAAGCCUGACCCCGCAGAAAAUGAGGAUUUGCAUGUGCUGGUGGAGGCUGACACUCAGGAGUCUCUUGAGGCUGCUGCUGGUAUGGUCGAGAAACUCUUGCAGCCAGUUGACGAGGUUCUUAAUGAGCAUAAGAGGCAACAGCUUAGGGAGCUUGCUGCACUGAAUGGUACUAUUAGAGAUGAAGAGUAUUGCAGGCUGUGCGGUGAGCCUGGUCAUCGACAGUAUGCAUGUCCUUCCCGCACCUCAACUUUUAAGAGUGAUGUUUUGUGUAAGAUUUGUGGUGAUGGUGGGCAUCCUACUAUUGAUUGCCCUGUGAAGAAUACUACUGGCAAGAAAAUGGAUGAUGAGUAUCAGAACUUCCUGGCAGAACUUGGAGGAACAGUUCCGGAGUCUUCAAUCAAGUCGAGCUCUGCAACACUUGCUCUUCCUGGGGGUUCAGGUGUGAAUCCUCCUUGGGCAAGUUCUACCAACACUGUGAUUAACACCACACAAGCUGCUCUUGGAUCACCACUGCUCAAGCCAAAGGAAUUUGACGAGACAAACUUAUACAUUGGUUACUUGCCUCCCACUCUGGAGGAUGAUGGUUUGAUCAGUUUGUUUUCUCCUUUUGGUGAAAUUGUGAUGGCUAAAGUUAUCAAAGACCGUGUGUCUGGUUUGAGCAAGGGUUACGGCUUUGUGAAGUAUGCGGAUGUUCAGCAGGCAAAUAAUGCAAUUGCAAGCAUGAAUGGGCACAAGUUAGAUGGGAGAACAAUUGCUGUGCGAGUCGCAGGUAAACCACCUCAGCCCACAGUGCCUCCAGGCCCUCCUGCUCCACCUAUGCCAACAUAUCCUCCUCUGAAUCAUCCCAUUGGUGCCUACCCCUCCCAGCAGUACAAUGCUGGUGGUCCAGUUCCACCUGGCAUGUAUUCUGCGGCACCGGUUCCUUGGGGACCUCCACCACCUCCUUCAUAUUCCCCGUAUCCUCCUCCGCCACCAGGAUCGACAAUGUAUCCUCCAGUUCCAGGUCAAGCAGUUCAUCAAUAUGGAGUGCAAUACCCUCCGCCUCCAAUGCCUCCAGGUUCAUCUGGUGUUCAGACUCAGGCUGUUUCUUCCGCUGACUCAUCUUCUGGGGAGAUGCAGCAAAGUUACCCUCCAGGAGUACAAUCUCAGAGUAGUGCGUCAGUCCAAUCUAUUCCAACUUAUGCCUAUGGCAAUUCCGUAACUGCAAUGUUACCACCAAAUUCCCAGACUCCUUACCCAGCACCUCCAUAUAGCUAUCCUCCUCAUUAUGGUGCUGUUCCGCCACCCCCUCCUGCUGCACCUCAGUCUUUUUCAGACCCUUCACAAAGCUUGAGUAAUGCUCCGUGGUCCUCAAAUCCAUCUGUGCCUCCUCCUCCACCUUCUGCUGAGAAAAGUAACCACAGCACGGACUCUGAAUAUGAGAAGUUCAUGGCAGAAAUGAAAUGAUGAGAGAAUAUUCCAAAGAUGGCUUUCAGGAUGAGGUAAAUAUAGUCCUGCUUUAUGUUACUCUCUACGAUUUACAAGUUUUGAUAUUUGCUGACAUAUCACUUCAUUUAUUCAUUUUUGGCACGUCUAAUAUCUCACUGUACGGUGUUGCAGCAGAAUUUUUAGUUUAUAUUCAGAUGUUGGCAUAGAGGAGUUCAAAUGCAUGAUUGUAAUGUGGAGAAUUUUUCUGAGCAUCUUUUGGGGGAUUAAGAUAAAAUGGAUGAGGCAUGUGUUCAAUUGUUUAUUAAUAUAGCACUGUAGAAUUACAUUAAGCUUUUAAUAAUUGUUUACACAAUGAAUAAGGAAAUACUAUGUUACAAAGCAGUAUUUUUCAAGAACAAAUUAGGAUUGAUUAGAACAGGCAAUCAACUUGUGGCCAAAAUACAUAUCAGAGUAUAAGAAGAUCCUGGAUGCCAUUUAUUUUUUAGACAUCACAUUGAUGACCCUGUAGUAAUAAAAUAACCCUUUAAAUUAGAUAUAUUUGCCAAGGUUUAUUUCAUUUUUGGUUUUGCUUGUUAUAAAUUUAUAAUCUGUCAUGAUCUUGUCCUGAUAAAACUGUAGCACUAAUUUGAAAAGCUCAUAUGCUGUUUGAAUUACAUAUCUGUUCCUCACAUAAAAUGCUUUGUUAGUCUAUGCAGAUUGCCAUUGUGAUACAGCUUUCUAUGUUUCAGUGGGCAACAGCUCUACCAUUUCUUGGAGAAUUGGCCUCCUUUGGGCCCAUUAUUCUCUUUAAUUUCUGAUCAUGCAUGCUUUUAAUUUUGUACAAUAUUAUCAUUUUCAUUGAUUUUUAACAGAUAAUAACACUUGUUUCUUUGUCGCUAUGCAACAUCUUUACAGGCUGUUUACUGGAGCACUUCUCAUCCUGGUUUCUAAUGUCUCUUUACUUGUUGGAAGUUUGGGACUCACAUAACCUUGAUGUACUGUUACAUUUGCAGAAAGUUUCCAUGAAGCCAUUCAACCGUGUUGCAGGAUCAAUUCGCUUAUAUGUCUGUUGAAAUCUCACUUUGUAGGAUCAUUUCCAUUCAGACGGAUAUAUCUGCAUUUAGCGUGUCUGACUUUCUUAUAUUUUCCUAGAUUAUAUGUUUGAACUUGUUGGUCUCUCUGCUGACCCUUUUGUCGACUAUCUAACAAUUGCUUGUGCUCUUCUCUACUUUGUCUUAUUCUAACGCCCGCUGAUUUGAUUUGGUGCACCUUUUGCUUCUUGUUACUACAACUAUUUGUAGUGUUUGUAGCUUUAUACUUUGAAUCCAGGCUGAUGCUUGUCUCUACUAAUCUAAAUCAAGCGAGGCCGACCUUGGAUCAUGAGGUCAGAUGUUCAUUUAUGGCAGGUGGUGUCAUUGUGCUGGGAUAAUCAUUCAUGUGUUCUGUUGGUUCUCGCCUAAUGCUUAUGUGUUAUUGGAUUGAGUCUAGUUUUUGCCUUUUUCACCGAUAGUAGAAAAUGGUUGUAGCAUAAAUUGUUUGGUUACUUGAGGAUUUGGAAUGUGAAUGGUUGCAGGAAGAAGAUACAUGGUGCUAAAUGAAGUUGGUAGAAGUAUUUGGUUAGAGGUUUCAGUUGUGUCUAAAUGGAAUACAGGUCGUAAUUGUAUUGAAUGAUGUUUGUGUUUGUGAUAUUGACAGCUAAAUGAUUAUACAAGCGUCCCUCAGGUUUUAAAA